GAUGAACGCUGGCGGCGUGCCUAAUACAUGCAAGUCGAGCGAACAGAUAAGGAGCUUGCUCCUUUGACGUUAGCGGCGGACGGGUGAGUAACACGUGGAUAACCUACCUAUAAGACUGGGAUAACUUCGGGAAACCGGAGCUAAUACCGGAUAAGAUUUUGAACCGCAUGGUUCAAUAGUGAAAGACGGCCUUGCUGUCACUUAUAGAUGGAUCCGCGCCGUAUUAGCUAGUUGGUAAGGUAACGGCUUACCAAGGCAACGAUACGUAGCCGACCUGAGAGGGUGAUCGGUCACACUGGAACUGAGACACGGUCCAGACUCCUACGGGAGGCAGCAGUAGGGAAUCUUACGCAAUGGGCGAAAGCCUGACGGAGCAACGCCGCGUGAGUGAUGAAGGUCGUCGGAUCGUAAAACUCUGUUAUCAGGGAAGAACAAACGUGUAAGUAACUGUGCACGUCUUGACGGUACCUGAUCAGAAAGCCACGGCUAACUACG
rnacentral:rRNA from 1 species